ACUUAGUGGACAAAGAAUCAUUUAUUGGGGGCAGGAAGCAUUAAAACAAUUUGCUUUAAAAGGUAAACAUGACUGUGAAAAUGUAGUUCUCGGUCUUGAAAAAGAUUUGUCUAUUUAAUUUACUGAAUUCAAUAUCUAUAUACAACUUUACAAAAUUGUUUUGCAAAUUUUGACUCUGAUUCUUAAUUGUCAUUAAAGACUAAUUCUCCUAGUAGUAGUUUACACUCUGUUUUGAGUAGACGGGUCUUUCAACUAUCUUGAAUAUUUUAAAUUAAAGUUAAAAUAUUUUCAAAGUGCAUGUGCUGCUCCAGGGCUUUAGGCCAAUAUCCAUCAAUUGCUUUGCUCUUUCAGUUGAGUGCGAGUCUCAUCCAUGACAGCUUUCUGUAAAUUAGAGAUAAAGCCUUAUUCUGCCUAACAUUUGUCCACGCAGCUUGAUGACUUCUGCACCAUCAAGCACUGAAUUUGCCAUGUAUUUGUCACCUGUGAUUUCCUUCCUCGUUGAUCUAAUACCUUUAAAUCAGUGGGCAUGAGUAAAGCAGAUUGCUCUGCGUGUUGUGGGUGAGCCCCAUCCAGUCAGUUGAAGGCCUUAAUAGAACAAAAAGACUGACUUCCCAGGAUUAAGAGAGACUCCUUCAGCUGACUGUCUUUGGAUUUCAUCAUCUGUAACACUGACUCUUCCUACUUAAUGGCUUUCAAACUGGAAUAUUGGCUCUCCUUCAGUCUCCCAUACCACCAGGCUACCCUGUAGAUUUUGAAUUCAUAGCCUCUAUAAUCACAUGAGCCAAUUCUCAUUAAAUAUCUCUUCCCUCUGUCUGUCUCCUAUUGGUUCUGUUUCUCUGGAGAACACUGACGAUUACAGAUAAUGUUCCACUUAUGCUAAAUAUUAAAUAUAGGUGAGAAUUCGAGAUGUGGAUGAUGAAGUAAAGGACCUCAUAAGUAGAGAAAGCAGAAUGUGAGGAAUUAUAUUUGGGCUGUACAGAAACUAAAAAAUCAGCCUAGGUUAUCAAGAUUGGAGGUUCCUAUGGAGUGCAGAGGCAAGAGAUGAGUUUGGGUGUGAGAUCAUGAA
rnacentral:lncRNA from 10 species